rnacentral:rRNA from 1 species
GUUGAACGCUGGCGGCAUGCUUUACACAUGCAAGUCGAACGGCAGCGCGGGCUUCGGCCUGGCGGCGAGUGGCGAACGGGUGAGUAAUACAUCGGAACGUGCCCAGUAGUGGGGGAUAGCCCGGCGAAAGCCGGAUUAAUACCGCAUACGACCUGAGGGUGAAAGCGGGGGAUCUUCGGACCUCGCGCUAUUGGAGCGGCCGAUGGCAGAUUAGCUAGUUGGUGGGGUAAAGGCCUACCAAGGCGACGAUCUGUAGCUGGUCUGAGAGGACGACCAGCCACACUGGGACUGAGACACGGCCCAGACUCCUACGGGAGGCAGCAGUGGGGAAUUUUGGACAAUGGGCGAAAGCCUGAUCCAGCAAUGCCGCGUGUGCGAUGAAGGCCUUCGGGUUGUAAAGCACUUUUGGCGGGAACGAAAAGGACUGUGCCAAUACCACGGUUCGAUGACGGUACCCGCAGAAUAAGCACCGGCUAACUACGUG